CAGCUCCCCUCUUCCACCUGACUGUCAGAGGUCAGCUCCCCCUCUUCCACCUGACUGUCAGAGGUCAACCCCCUCUUCCACCUGACUGUCAGAAGACAGCUCCCCGUCUUCCACCUGACUGUCAGAGGUCAACCCCCCUCUUCCACCUGACUGUCAGAGGUCAACCCCCCUCUUCCACCUGACUGUCAGAGGUCAACCCCCCCUCUUUCCUCGUCCUUCUUUCUCCUGGAGUCUGUUUGGGGCUUUAAAUGGACCUCAGCUGCUUCAUAACCUGACACAGUGGGAGGCGAGCGGCGACAUUCAGUUGGAGGAGACCACCAUGCCCUUCAGUUGGAGGAGACCACCAUGCCCUUCAGUUGGAGGAGACCACCACGCCCGAGUAUCUGUUUGUUCUUGAGUGUUAAACGGUGUACAAGUGUAAUCUAAUGCGUUGUCUCUGAAUAUCUUGUUUUCCUAGAGUUUGUCUGGCCGUCCGUUCCUGCUCCUCCUCCCUGGGGGACGUGCCAGACUCCUAGUACUGCACCUCGGUCUCUUCAGGGGUGGUGCUCCGCUCGGAGACGUCCUCUCUCGUCUUCUGCUUUCUGGAGGUGGAUGGCUGGUUCUCUGCGGCGCCCGUGGUGCGGUAUCUUCUCCCUUCAACGCCGUCUCAAGGAAGGCGCUGGUUUACCGGCUUUGGAAGGAUUCAUUGAGUAACGUUUGGCUUCCAUCCGGCUGUCGUGGCGCACGAAGUCGGCCAACGUUUCCCCGUCGGCAUUCGGGAGAACGUUUUUAACCUGUAAGAACACAAACAAGACACACAGAUAAAAGUUGAUAUUUUAGUCAUUGAUGGUUUUCGGGUCAGCCGUUGGAGUAGUAUCUUUUCAUUUAUAUCCCAUUUGACUGACAUGACUGAAGAUGGAAGUCCGCAGGUCAGUGAAGGAAGGCCUUCCAGGCAGGCCCAUCUCCUUCCACGCCUCCCUCAGGUAGACGGGCAGGUUCUUGAUCUCAGUGUUGGUGGAAUUGAAAAAGAAGUACUGGGCUUUAUUUCCCCCUGGCAGACAGUGCUUAAAUUUCAGGAAGUCUGAAAACCAAGAGUACUCCUCCUUGGUCAGCGACAUCUGGAUCCUGGUUUGCAUUUGUUUUGCGUUUCCCACCUAUUAGAAAAUGGAGGGAAAAAACAGGCAUUAACGCUGCAGUCGUUUCUAAAACCAACCAACCACGUUCAGGUGUAUGGUUAUAGACUUACGUUGAUCAGACAGGUCCCAGACAGGCCCCACUGGGCCACGUUCAGGUGUAUGGUUAUAGACUUACGUUGAUCAGACAGGUCCCAGACAGGCCCCACUGGGCCACAUUCAGGUGUAUGGUUAUAGACUUACGUUGAUCAGACAGGUCCCAGACAGGCCCCACUGGGCCACAUUCAG
ensembl:lncRNA